GUAUCCACUUCCUCCUCCUGGUUUACUUAAAGACCGUAAGAAGAAGAAGUCCACCGCUGAGUCCCCUGCUUCUGAACAGGAGGAUGAGCCUGUGGACCCUCAAGCUGCUGCAGGAUGUACUAUAGGUCAGAGGAAACGUGACCGUCCUUUGAUACCUUCAAAUGCUAAUAAGGAUGGUACUUCCACUCUCCUUCAGCCAAAGAUCCUCCAAAGCGUCAACGUAGGGUCUUGGAUUUAGCUACUCUAAUCCAAAUCAAGGGUUCUAAAGGGGCUACCAGUCAGUCUGCUCCUCCUUCUCCUCCUAAACAUCAACCAGUUGAUCCUCCCCGCGAAGUCAUUCCUCCUCAAUCAUCCGAUGGUGCGAAGUCCUUUUUCUCUAUUCCAACUAUUGUUGUGGAUGAUUCGCCAGAAAAGUCGUCCAAGGAUAAGGAGGAGAAGAGUAAAGACAAGAGGAUGGUCUACGAAGUAGAAGAUACUGCCUAUAUCCCUGACAUGGAUUUUUUGAGGAAGAUCUUUAUCACGACUCGAGAGAAUGCUUCUCUUAGAUUACCUGUUCCUGAAUCUCUUGCUUCUUUUAGUUCUGAUACCUUCUUGGCUGAGGAUCAGUCUUUCAUAGUGAAUGCCUCAUUGAACCUCUCUCUUCAGCAACAUGCUGCUAUA